GUGGAUUAGAUACCCUGGUAGUCCUGGCAGUAAACGGUGCGCGUUUGGUGUGGGAGGAUUCGACCCCUUCUGUGCCGGAGCUAACGCGUUAAACGCGCCGCCUGGGGAGUACGGUCGCAAGAUUAAAACUCAAAGAAAUUGACGGGGGCCCGCACAAGCGGUGGAGUAUGUGGCUUAAUUCGAUGCAACGCGAAGAACCUUACCUAGCCUUGACAUGCAUCUCUAAGUCGGUGAAAGCCGGCGAGUGUAGCAAUACACAAUUUGCACAGGUGCUGCAUGGUCGUCGUCAGCU
rnacentral:rRNA from 1 species